rnacentral:rRNA from 1 species
UACGUAGGGUGCAAGCGUUGUCCGGAAUUAUUGGGCGUAAAGAGCUCGUAGGCGGUCUGUCGCGUCGGCUGUGAAAACCCGGGGCUCAACCCCGGGCCUGCAGUCGAUACGGGCAGACUAGAGUGCGGUAGGGGAGACUGGAAUUCCUGGUGUAGCGGUGAAAUGCGCAGAUAUCAGGAGGAACACCGGUGGCGAAGGCGGGUCUCUGGGCCGUAACUGACGCUCAGGCGCGACAGCGUGGGGAUCAAACAGG